UACGAAGGUGGCAAGCGUUGCUCGGAAUCACUGGGCGUAAAGCGCACGUAGGCGGAUUGCUAAGUCAGGGGUGAAAUCCUGGAGCUCAACUCCAGAACUGCCUUUGAUACUGGCAACCUUGAGUCCGGGAGAGGUGAGUGGAACUGCGAGUGUAGAGGUGAAAUUCGUAGAUAUUCGCAAGAACACCAGUGGCGAAGGCGGCUCACUGGCCCGGUACUGACGCUGAGGUGCGAAAGCGUGGGGAGCAAACAGG
rnacentral:rRNA from 1 species